rnacentral:rRNA from 1 species
UACGUAGGGGGCAAGCGUUGUCCGGAAUUAUUGGGCGUAAAGAGCUCGUAGGCGGUCUGUCGCGUCGGCUGUGAAAACUCGAGGCUCAACCUCGAGACGUCGGUUGAAACCAUCUGGCUAGAGUCCGGAAGAGGAGUGUGGAAUUCCCGGUGUAGCGGUGAAAUGCGCAGAUAUCGGGAAGAACACCCGUGGCGAAGGCGGCACUCUGGGACGGUACUGACGCUGAGACGCGAAAGCGUGGGGGAGCGAACAGG